rnacentral:rRNA from 1 species
CCUACGGGAGGCAGCAGUGAGGAAUAUUGGUCAAUGGACGAGAGUCUGAACCAGCCAAGUAGCGUGAAGGAUGACUGCCCUAUGGGUUGUCAACUUCUUUUAUAUGGGAAUAAAAUGUUCCACGUGUGGGAUUUUGUAUGUACCAUAUGCAUAAGGCUCGGCUAACUCCGUGCCCGCAGCCGCGGUAAUACGGAGGAUCCGAGCGUUAUCCGGUUUUAUUGGGUUUAAAGGGAGCGUAGGGGGAUUGGUAAGUCAGUUGGUAAAGUUUGUGGCUCAACCGUAAAAUUGCAGUUGAAACUGGCGGUCUUGAGUACAGUAGAGGUAGGCGGAAGUCGUGGUGUAGCGGUGAAAUGCUUAGAUAUCACGAAGAACUCCGAUUGCGAAGGCAGCUCACUGGACUGCAACUGACACUGAGGCUCGAAAGUGUGGGUAUCAAACAGGAUUAGAUACCCGUGUAGUC